rnacentral:tRNA from 1 species
GCCUGGGUGGUGGAAUGGUAGACACGCGAGACUUAAAAUCUUGUGGCCGCAAGGUCGUGAGGGUUCAAGUCCCUCCCCAGGCACCA